UACGGAGGGAGCGAACGUUGUUCGGAUUUACUGGGCGUAAAGGGUGUGUAGGCGGUCUUGCAAGUCAGGGGUGAGAUCUCUCGGCUCAACCGAGAAACUGCCUUUGAGACUGCAGGACUUGAGGGCGUGAGAGGAGACUGGAAUUCCUAGUGUAGCGGUGAAAUGCAUAGAUAUUAGGAGGAACACCAGUGGCGAAGGCGAGUCUCUGGCACGCAUCUGACGCUGAAACACGAAAGCCAGGGGAGCGAACGGG
rnacentral:rRNA from 1 species